UACGGGGGGGCAAGCGUUGUUCGGAAUUACUGGGCGUAAAGGGUUCGUAGGUGGCCAACUAAGUCAGACGUGAAAUCCCUCAGCUCAACUGGGGAACUGCGUCUGAUACUGGUCGGCUUGAGUGCAGGAGAGGAACGCGGAAUUCCAGGUGUAGCGGUGAAAUGCGUAGAUAUCUGGAGGAACACCGGUGGCGAAGGCGGCGUCUGGACUGCAACUGACACUGAGGAACGAAAGCCAGGGGAGCAAACGGG
rnacentral:rRNA from 1 species